rnacentral:tRNA from 1 species
GGGGCUGUAGCUCAGUUGGCUAGAGCGGUACGUUCGCAACGUAUAGGUCACGGGUUCGACUCCCGUCAGCUCCACCA